UACAGAGGUCUCAAGCGUUUGUUCGGAUUCAUUGGGCGUAAAGGGCGCGUAGGCGGCGGGGUAAGUCGGGUGUGAAAUCUCAGAGCUCAACUCUGAAAUGGCACUUGAUACUGCUCUGCUAGAGGACUGGAGAGGAGAUUGGAAUUCACGGUGUAGCAGUGAAAUGCGUAGAUAUCGGUGAGGAAGACCGGUGGCGAAGGCGGAUCUCUGGACAGUUCCUG
rnacentral:rRNA from 1 species